rfam:Canis lupus familiaris chromosome 6, whole genome shotgun sequence.
GAGACUAUACUUUCAGGGAUCAUUUCUAUAGUUUGUUACUAGAGAAGUUUCUCUGAACGUGUAGGGUACAAAAAAGAAAAAAAAAAGGAAUAUGA